rnacentral:rRNA from 1 species
GAUGAACGCUAGCGGCAGGCUUAACACAUGCAAGUCGAGGGGUAGAGGUUGCUUGCAACCUUGAGACCGGCGCACGGGUGCGUAACGCGUAUGCAACCUACCUUUUACAGAGGGAUAGCCCAGAGAAAUUUGGAUUAAUAUAUCAUAGUAUAUAGUCCUCGCAUGUUGGCUAUAUUAAAGUUGCAACGGUAAAAGAUGGGCAUGCGUCCGAUUAGCUAGAUGGUAAGGUAACGGCUUACCAUGGCAACGAUAGGAAGGGGUCCUAUGAGGGAGAUACCCCACACUGGUACUGAGACACGGACCAGACUCCUACGGGAGUCAGCAGUGAGGAAUAUUGGACAAUGGGCGCAAGCCUGAUCCAGCCAUGCCGCGUGCAGGAAGAAGCAUCUAUGAUGUGUAAACUGCUUUUGUACGGGAAGAAACACUCCGACGUGUCGGAGCUUGACGGUACCGUAAGAAUAAGGAUCGGCUAACUCCGUGCCAGCCGCCGCAGUAAGAC